rnacentral:rRNA from 1 species
AGAUUGAACGCUGGCGGCGUGCCUAACACAUGCAAGUCGAGCGGUAACAGGUGUAGCAAUACAUGCUGACGAGCGGCGAACGGGUGAGUAAUGCUUUGGAAUCUUCCCAGUAGUGGGGAAUAACCAGUCGAAAGAUUGGCUAAUACCGCAUACGUCUGUAAAGGGAAAGCGGGGGCUCGUAAGACCUCGCGCUAUUGGAUGAGCCAAAGUCGGAUUAGCUAGUUGGUGGGGUAAUGGCCUACCAAGGCGACAAUCCGUAGCUGGUCUGAGAGGACGACCAGCCACACCGGGAACUGAGACACGGUCCGGACUCCUACGGGAGGCAGCAGUGGGGAAUAUUGGACAAUGGGGGAAACCCUGAUCCAGCGACGCCGCGUGUGUGAAGAAGGCCUGCGGGUUGUAAAGCACUUUUAGUGGGGACAAAAGCUACGGAUUAAUACUCUGUGGUCUUGAUUUAACCCAAAGAAAAGCACCGGCUAACUCUGCGCCAGCAGCCGCGGUAA